rnacentral:rRNA from 1 species
UACGAAGGGUGCAAGCGUUACUCGGAAUUACUGGGCGUAAAGGGUGCGUAGGUGGUUUGUUAAGUCUGCUGUGAAAUCCCCGGGCUCAACCUGGGAAUGGCAGUGGAUACUGGCAAGCUGGAGUGCGGUAGAGGGUAGUGGAAUUCCCGGUGUAGCAGUGAAAUGCGUAGAGAUCGGGAGGAACACCAGUGGCGAAGGCGGCUACCUGGACCAGCACUGACACUGAGGCACGAAAGCGUGGGGAGCAAACAGGG